rnacentral:rRNA from 1 species
UACGUAGGGUGCAAGCGUUAAUCGGAAUUACUGGGCGUAAGCGUGCGCAGGCGGUGAUGUAAGACAGGUGUGAAAUCCCCGGGCUUAACCUGGGAACUGCAUUUGUGACUGCAUCGCUGGAGUGCGGCAGAGGGGGAUGGAAUUCCGCGUGUAGCAGUGAAAUGCGUAGAUAUGCGGAGGAACACCGAUGGCGAAGGCAAUCCCCUGGGCCGAUACUGACGCUGAUGCGCGAAAGCUAGGGGAGCAAACAGG